GCCUAGCCCUAAAUCUUGAUACUUCCCCCACUAAAGUAUCCGCCUGAGAACUACGAGCACAAACGCUUAAAACUCUAAGGACUUGGCGGUGCUCCAAACCCACCUAGAGGAGCCUGUCCUAUAAUCGAUAAUCCACGAUGCACCCAACCACUCCUUGCCAAUGCAGCCUACAUACCGCCGUCGCCAGCCCACCUCCCCUGAGAGAGCCAUAGUGAGCAUAAUAGCCUACCACGCUAGCAAGACAGGUCAAGGUAUAGCCUAUGAAGUGGAAGAGAUGGGCUACAUUUUCUAAAUUAGAAAACCCCACGAAAGAGGGCAUGAAACUGCCCCCGGAAGGCGGAUUUAGCAGUAAAGAGGGACAAUAGAGCCCCCUUUAAGCUGGCUCUGGAGCACGU
rnacentral:rRNA from 1 species